ensembl:lncRNA
CCUCACAUGGCCUCUGAUAUGUUAAAACCUGUCCAUCUCUCCGUCCCUCACAUGGCCUCUGAUAUGUUUAAACCUGUCCAUCUCUCCGUCCCUCACAUGGCCUCUGAUAUGUUAAGCCUGUCUGCAUGUUUUUUUUCAUGACUUGAACUCUUACUGCUGUGUAACCCCUCUGUCCUUGCCUUAUAGCAUCAUGUCAAUCCCCUACCCGCCUGCCCGCCUGCCCUCUGACCAUUUGAUAUGUAUCAAUAUAUUUUUGUCUUGAGGCGUCCAAACAAUCUUUUCUAUCAAUGUGAAGCAGGACAGCUGGACUGGCUGUCACAGCCUUCAAUAAGAAGCUCAACAAUUGGUCUGUGGUUUCAGUAAGAAGCCCAUGGAUUGGCCAGUGGGGUUCAGUGCUCCACCCACACACAACAAGAAAGCGAGAGACUGCUAAAAACUAAAAAAGACAGAGAAAGACAGAAUCUUAAAACUAUGAAAUAUCUUUGCAUGUGUUUGCAAGUGCUGAACUGAACUUGUGUGCUGACCUGGUCUUGAGCACGUCGGUUUGCAGUUUGGGCUGUUCUGUAUAACCCCACCCUUCCCCCGCCACCACCCAGAUACAAUGUAUCCCAUUGGUGGACAGGUUCCACUGCAUCCUGAAACCUGAAACCCCUCCUCUCUUUUGCAAGAGAUGUAAGCCGUGUUCCUCUUCCCAGGCGUUGCUGACGCGUGCCAGAUCUUCCUAAAUCUGGAUAGUUAUUUUACGUAUCAGCUAACCACAUCAUAUGCUGCACCAAUCUGGUGUCUGACGGCACAGUCGAUGAUGUGGCACACAACCAUUGGAUGAUGCAUGCAACGUCUGAACAGGGGAGCACGACCCCUAGCAUCCUUCUGGGCAUGGCUUGCUGAGUAUGCCAAACUACCGUAUGUAACCUGUCACCAACAGUUAUGAGCAAAUGCUGGAAUGUCUUAAAAGUGACAGGAAAUAUGUAUUUGAUAUGCUUUUAUUGUACUAGUUUUCUAUCAUUCAACAUGUUGUUGUUAUUAUAAUUAUUCUGAAUAUCAUUAUGACUAACCGUCAUAAUGACAUACUAUAGCUACCGGAUUCUGUUUUUGGUUCUAUGGUUUCCUAUAUGGAAGGCCAAUGGUCUAGGCCUUCAAAGACAAAAACACAAAUAGAAUGUUCCAGAAGUGACCAUUUGGUGAAAGAGAUGCUGUUUGGUGGAGAAAUUGUUGUUCAAAGACAGAAAGCUAGUUUUCAGUGAGGUGUUGAGUUGCAUUGGAGAUUUUCUAUAUUUUUGUAUGCAUUGUUUCUGCUUUAAUCUUUGCCUAUGCGGCGUGCCAGUGUAUGUGUUUUUUGCACGAAGCUAACGUGGCUGUAGAUUUCUCCUUUCUUUGUUAUCACUGUGUGAUAUAGUAUACUGGGAAAAAAAUACAAAUGUGAACAAAAAAUGUUUUAUUUGACUUGGAAAGGGGAUACUGUGAUACAGUUUGUUAUUGACAUGAUCCUCAAUGGAAAUGUUUUCUUGUCUUUGUAAUUAUAUCGGACUUCUUUCUUUCCUGUUAUAGCUGCUCCUAAAGCAAAAUUCCACGUUUAUUUCCAUUCUUUUUCAGACGAUGUCAGGAAAAGGGCAUUUUUUUGUAAAUAAAUCUAAAUCAUUCCAUUGCCAUGGUGAUCUGAGGAACCUUAAAUUGGUUCGGUCAGAGUGACUGUCACUCAUACAACUCAGGAAGUCCCAUUGGUUCAGAGCGCCAGUAUAUCCCAGCCCUACACAACAAGCCACUGCUCACUCAUCCUCUAUCUCAGUGAACUACUGUGUGUGUGUGUGUGCGUGCGCGUGUAAGGAAAUGUAUUCCCGAUUAAAGCACAGAAUUAGUGCUCAGCUCACCUCUUCAGCUCUCACUGAUUGUUCAGGAAAGCCUCUGUGUGUGUGUCUGUGUGUGUGUGGUAAAAUAAUACACGGUCAUCAAGCUUGCAUUUGUGUGUCUGCUCCAAAAAACCCUAAUGCAGCGAUUCCCUUUAAACAGUGUUUUAGUGUAGCAGUGUUCUGACUGGAGGUAAAAGGCUUGGCCUACAUGGUGCUUUUGGAAAGGACAUCAGACCAAUUACCGAUCUCGCUUUUUGGAAACUAAAACAGUUUUUUUGUUGUUGACUUUCUGCCAUUAGGACAGAGAGAUGGUUAAAAGUAGAGGAGGCGUCAUACAUUUUAGCACCAUGAUUUGAAAAAAACCCAACUGAAUUAUUUGAUAAUGACACCUCUAACAACUAGUGGACUGAACGAGUCUGAGACACAAAUUAAACUCAGGGGGAACCAUUACGCCUGUGCAUUCAUUUAUAACCUUUGACCUCCUGUGUUCUGAUUGGCCAUACGGUCAGGUCAGUUCCAUUCAUUCUGUCCAAUGACAAAUGUUAACCCACCACUGAGCCAGAGCUAUAGAUCCACUUGACAUCCACAACAUGCUGACAUUUACAUUAUGGUUCUACACAGAACAAUUCACAAUAUGUAGAAAGACACUACAACAGCUAGGUGGUUUUUCUAGAAUGCGUCUGGUAAUGCUGUCUAUUCUAAUGCAGUGUUCUGUGCAUCCAUUUAUCAUGGUCGACGAGAUUGUUUGUAGUACGAGUUUCUCAACAACUCAAUUAACUUAAUGGAACAGUGAGCAGAGCACUGUUUGUCUACCUGCCUCAAUUACAGCUGUACAAAGUUGCUCAUAUGGUAGUGGACCUCCUCUUUGACAAGGUCAAGGGUUAAAAGUUAAACUAGACUUGUGGAAGGUUAGAUCCUGGUGUUUAGAGGAUUGGAGGGUUUGAGUAUUAUCUAGUUGAAGGGACACUGCGUCACUGUCCUUUCACUGACAUUACAGAGAGGGGAUGUUUGCGGCCCGACAAGGUUGUGAUUUUGUCCUGAUGCAGUGACGUGUGUUGCAUUGUUUUCUGUCCCCCAAGUCUGGCUGCAUGGCGCACUCACUGAAAGUGCCCCCCUGGUGGUGUGUGACGGGCACCUUGGUUCCGGGCAUCUCGUUCACACACAGCUGUCACACACACUCUCCCUCUCUGUCUCAGUCUGUCUCAUUUCUCAUCCCCUUCUCCUUUCUGUCUCUGUCCCUUUGUCUCCUGCAUCUCCUGUCUCCCACUUUCACCAUUUCAGUCUGUUUCCCUCUCCUUCUAUCUCUCCUUCUAUCUCUCCUUCUAUCUCUCCUUCUCUUCAUUCCUUCCUUCCUUCCUUUCUUUCUUUCUUUCUUUCUUUCUUUCUUUCUUUCUUUCUUUCUUUCUUUCUU